CGGCCCCGUCCGGGUGUAAUUUCAAACACCAUCUGUCUUUGUCACUGGCUCCUGAGGAGAAGGCUGGGCUUUCAAUGGCUUCCCUCACUUCCUGCAGGAUAGAACAGAAGUUGCUGAUAGUCCAACUGUAGGUGAAUUUCUGGAAAUUGACCUCUGUGAUGCCCCAGCUCUCAGCUGCCAGGUCCCCUGACAUAUCUGCUUGGGGCAUUUUGAUGGCUAACCUGGCUCCAAAGUAAAGAGAGCUCACAGUCUACUCAGGUGUCCUUGAUAACAACACUGGCUGCCAAUCUUAGAAGACACUUCGAGGAGACAACUGAGAUGAUCAUAAGAUUGCUUGAGGUGUUUGGGAGGGGACUCCAGUAAAGAUGGGUGAACAGAAGCCAGGGAACUGUAUGCUUCAGACACAAAGUGGGGAUAUGAGGCCACCAUUCUCCUCCAGCUAGAGAUAUGAGAGACCUCAGAAGCAUGUAGAUGUAAUGAAAUCCAGUGCCUGAGUUUUCAACAUCCGUGCAUGGUGGAGGUUAUCCAAGGUGAAAGUGUAGGCAGCAUUCUCCAUGGAGAGAUCCUCACAGAGGGAAUCCUCACACAAAGUCUUCAAAUGCUCCAGGCCAUACUUGUCAGCAGCUGCCAGCAAAGUGUCUGCCAUGCUGUGGAGAUCUGGUGCCUUCCCAGUGUAAAUGAAACCCAUCAUUGCCUAGAAGACUUGCAGCUCCAGAUCAUGGAUCUGAACAUGGAUUUUUCUGCUAUCCUCCAUGUCAUGCUCAAACAUGGCUCUGAAAACUGGAGAGUGAGCUGCUAAGAUGGCUUAUGAUCCUGGAAUUCCUGGAAAGCAACUACCUGGCAGCAGUCUGUGAAGAGGGAAUUCUCCCACAGCUCUCCUAGCUCAUCUGCCAUCAUGCACCUUGGAACCUGGAUCCCUGUCACCAAGCCUCAGAUCAGGAUUAAAGGUGGGUGUUAUCAGGUCUUGUGAUCUGGAUCAAAUGUUUGUGCUUCCCAUCUCCAAAGUCAGUAUUUCAAGUGGAUCUACCUACUCCAACUUAUGAAAAACAUUUCUUACAGUUGAGCCCUCCGUAUUUGGAUUUUAGUUAAUUCCAGGUGUGAUCUAGUUAGGAACCAAAAAUAACCACCACAAGUGCAUAUUGCUUACUUGAGUUAGCCUUCCAUAAAUAAAGAUAUUGUCUUUAUUCCUACACAGCUGUUGUUUCCUCGCUGGCACACACCUUUAAUCCCAACACUUGGGAGGCAGAGGCAGGAAGAUCUCUUUGAGUUCAAGGCCAGUAUUAUAUACAGAGUUAGUUCCAGGACAGCCAGAGCUGUUACACAGAAAAACUCUGUCUCUGAAAAAAAAGCAUCCUUCCCAUGAACAUGAACCAGGAAGUGGUGCUAUUCUUCUUUCAGCGGACUCAGUAUUCACAAUGUGGAGGUCAGGGUGGAGGAAUCACUUUAUAGAGGGCAUUAAACAGAACAAGGCAGGACCCUCUGAAAAUGGCUGCCUUCUUUACUGCCAUUUAUUCCAUCCAUACUCACAGUCCUGGGGAUGACUCCACCAAAUUUUCCUCAUGGUCCUGCCUCUCCUCCUCAGUUAAUCCUCCUUGAAUACUUCCUGAUCCACUUCAGGUUGUGCUAUGAGCAGAUCCUAAAGACGUCUCAAUUCUCAUGCUGACUGCCAAGAUUCAGCUUCUCAUUACCUCAUACUUUUCAUCCUUCACUGAAAAUAAAAAACUGUGGGUUCCUUCCAGACAGUAUGGUUUGAUGAAGCAAGACACCCUGAAACAGUGUCACAAGUGAUCCAACAUGUAAAACAGCUGAGAAGAUGGAGCCAUACACACUACAAAACCAAAGACCUAAGUAUGUGUGUUUUGUCAUGUUGCCCAGUGCAUGGACAGGGCCCCCAAGCAGCAGGAAGCAGUUUGGAAUGAACAAUAUCCAAGUUCCCAAAUAUUUUUCAUAAAUUUUUUAUUUCAUUUUAAUGGAGUUGGUUAUCAGUGGUUAAUGGUUAAAACCAAUGUCUUUUUCAAGGUAAAAGAGACUAUGACAUAGAAAUAAACACUUUUUAUUGGUAUGUAUUUUCAUUUAUUGACACAAAUUUAAGAUCAAUUUUGUGAUAUGUAUAUUUCUACUCUUCUUUAAGUAUUGGGUUUAUACUGAUAUUUAACAUGUAACACAUAAUUAAAUACAGAUUGUAUAUAGUCACGUCUAAUACUCAGAACAUGAAGUUAGGUUUUCUAGAUGUACAGAAAUGUAUUUAAGAUGAAUAUAUGUGUAUAUUUUGCCUUAUUGUUUGAUAAAUAAAGCACCAUUCCUGCCGUA